UUGGGAGGACCACGGAUCCAAGAUUAAAAACCUCUGCUCUAAAAAAUCAGAAUAUCGCCUCAAUCAGGAAAGCAAAGAAUUAAUGUGGAGGGGUUGGAAAGUAGCAGCUGCUACUAAUAAUCCUGAGGAGAUACAACUCUUUCCUAGUCUUGAGGUGGUUUUGUUAGUCAAUUGAUUAAAAACAGGGAGAGCCCAGUAUUUAAGUGGAUCUUUUGCUACAGAGUUGACUGCUGAUGGGAGGAAGAACCAGAAAGUCAGGCAAAGCCCCUUUGUGACAGAGCAACGCGGCUAUGGUCUGGUGGUGACCUGACUGACUUUGUCUGACUGUCUUCAUGUCCUUUGUGUUGUGCCUGUCCCUGGAGAGACUCUUCUAGUUCUAUAAGCACUUAGAGGUCUUCAGAGACAUCAUGCGUCUAAGAGCUGAACAAUGAGGCCAUUGUGCUGUGAGGACCAACAUCAGCCUAUGAACUAUUCACUUUGGAGGUGAUUUUCCUGGAUACUUUGUCAGUCUGAAUACAGAACACAAUCUUCCUCAAAAAGUCUACCUCAGAAGCCAUUUUAAAGGUACAGAUGUACACCCAUCUUGGGAACAAUUCCUGCCUUGUCUGGAAAUAGCUUUGGGGAUGAAGCCUGAUGUAAUGUAGCAAUUCUCAAAGUUUGGCCUGAGGAACCCUGCAGGACUUUGAGACCCUUUCAAGUAUUUUCAAAACGAUUCUCAUAAAAAUGGUAUGCACUUGUUUGCCAUCAAACUGAGGAAAAGACAGAAAAUCUGUCUGUGACUCAAUCAUCUCCCUGAAGCAAAUGACAGGCUUUAAGGGAACCAUUUGAGAAGUAAUAUGACAAUGGAUUGGAAAUGACCAUUGGACCUGGAGUCAGAGGGACCUGGGUUCAAGGCCUGGUUUUGUUACUUACUGGAUGUGAGACCAAGGGCAAAUUAUUUCCCAGCUCUCAACCUCAGCUUUUACCUUUGUAGUCUGAAAGCCUUGAAGUGGAAGACCGCUAGAUCUUUUCUCACUUUAAACACAUAGUCUUAAAAUUCACUUUACCUUCAAAGGAUUAUACAUACAUUUUCAUUUUAUGUAUGUAUGCAUAUAUGGAACUUUGCAUCCAGAAGAAGCGUACAACUACAACGAUUAAAAGAACCAAAGCCUAUGAUUAACCAGAAGUUUUGCCUAAAAACAAUGGCAGAGAAAUGGGCAAUACUAAACAUUCAAUGUUAUGGAUCAGAAUAGGAAAGAACUAGUUUUUACCUUCUCCAGGCUUAGAUUGAUACCAAUGACGAUGGCUGAAUUGUUUUUUUCAGUUUAAAAUAAACCUAAAUGAACAACUCAGAGCAUCACAUUUACUAUAAAGAAUCAUGGACAUAGAGCUCUAUGAGGUAUUAAAAAUCAUUUACUCCAAACUCA